UUUCAAUGGGGAAGAAUUUGAUUUUGUUAAUACCAAAGUUGAUUGACGUUACCCAUACAAGAAGCACCGGCUAACUCCGUGCCAGCAGCCGCGGUAAUACGGAGGGUGCAAGCGUUAAUCGGAAUUACUGGGCGUAAAGAGUACGUAGGUGGUUUAUUAAGUCAGAUGUGAAAUCCCUGAGCUUAACUUAGGAACUGCAUUUGAAACUGAUAGGCUAGAGUUUCGUAGAGGGGGGUAGAAUUCCAGGUGUAGCGGUGAAAUGCGUAGAGAUCUGGAGGAAUACCAGUGGCGAAGGCGGCCCCCUGGACGAAAACUGACACUCAGGUACGAAAGCAUGGGGAGCAAACAGGAUUAGAUACCCUGGUAGUCCAUGCCGUAAACGAUGUCGAUUUGAAGGUUGUAACCUUGAGUUGUGACUUUCGGAGCUAACGCGUUAAAUCGACCGCCUGGGGAGUACGACCGCAAGGUUAAAACUCAAAUGAAUUGACGGGGGCCCGCACAAGCGGUGGAGCAUGUGGUUUAAUUCGAUGCAACACGAAGAACCUUACCUACUCUUGACAUCCAAAGAACUGCAUAGAGAUAUGCAGGUGCCUACGGGAACUUUGAGACAGGUGCUGCAUGGCUGUCGUCAGCUCGUGUUGUGAAAUGUUGGGUUAAGUCCCGCAACGAGCGCAACCCUUAUCCUUUGUUGCCAGCGAGUAAAGUCGGGAACUCAAAGGAGACUGCCGGUGAUAAACCGGAGGAAGGUGAGGAUGACGUCAAGUCAU
rnacentral:rRNA from 1 species